AAAGGAUCAAAGAUCUUUCCUCAUCUUGAGUCAUAGCAGAGAUGGAAAUAUCCAGAGAUUUACACCUGAACCAGAACAUCUCACUGGCUGCAGUAAUUGACUGCCUUUCCCCAGAAAAUGUCUAAAUGGGUCUAAAUGGAAAUGUUGGGGGCCCUACAGUGAGCCAUAGAUCAGGGGAGAUCCCCCAGUGCUGGCACAGCAAGACUUCAAGGCCCAUAAUCUGUGCAGAAGAUCUGAACAACAUAGUGUACAGGUCCCUGGUUCUGGAGCAAACCAAAUAAAGGCAAUCUUGCUUCAAAACCAAGUUGUCAUUCUCACCCAUCCUUUGUGAAACGGGUGGUGAGUGUAUCUCAUCUUGGAUGUGGUUAUGAAAAGGCUGGAUUC
rnacentral:lncRNA from 1 species